rnacentral:rRNA from 1 species
CUAUUAUGGAGAGUUUGAUCCUGGCUCAGGACGAACGCUGGCGGCGUGCCUAAUACAUGCAAGUCGAGCGAAUGAU